rnacentral:rRNA from 1 species
UGAGUACGAGCUGCUACGGCAGCGAAGUGGGUGAUGUCAAGCUUCCAAGAAAAGCCCUAUACCCGUUAAGGCAUGAUGGCCUGUACCCGAAACCGACACAGGUGGGGUGGUAGAGAAUACCGAGGGGCGCGAGAUAACUCUCUCUAAGGAACUCGGCAAAAUGGCCCCGUAACUUCGGGAGAAGGGGUGCCACCGCAAGGUGGUCGCAGUGAAGAGGCCCAGGCGACUGUUUACCAAAAACACAGGUCUCCGCUAAGUCGCAAGACGAUGUAUGGGGGCUGACGCCUGCCCAGUGCCGGAAGGUUAAGGAAGCUGGUCAGCGUAAGCGAAGCUAGCGACUGAAGCCCCGGUGAACGGCGGCCGUAACAAUAACGGUCCUAAGGUAGCGAAAUUCCUUGUCGGGUAAGUUCCGACCCGCACGAAAGGCGUAACGAUCUGGGCGCUGUCUCGGAGAGAGGCUCGGCGAAAUAGAAUUGUCUGUGAAGAUGCGGACUACGUGCACCCGGACAGAAAGACCCUAUGAAGCUUUACUGUAGCUUGGUAUUGUGCUCGGGCUCGGAAUGCGCAGGAUAGGUGGGAGGCUAUGAACCAUUGCUUGUGGGUGAUGGUGAGCCACUGGUGAGAUACCACUCUUUCCGAGCUAGAGUUCUAACAGCCACCCGUUAUCCGGGGGCUGGACAGUAUCAGGUGGGCAGUUUGACUGGGGCGGUCGCCUCCUAAAAGGUAACGGAGGCGCGCAAAGGUUUGCUCAGGCUGGUUGGAAAUCAGCCGACGAGUGUAAAAGCAGAAGCAAGCUUGACUGUGAGACCUACAAGUCGAACAGGGAGGAAACUCGGCUUUAGUGAUCCGACGGUUCUGCGUGGAAGGGCCGUCGCUCAACGGAUAAAAGUUACUCUAGGAUAACAGGCUGAUCUCCCCCAAGAGUUCACAUCGACGGGGAGGUUUGGCACCUCGAUGUCGGCUCAUCGCAACCUGGGGCUGAAGUCGGUCCCAAGGGUUGGGCUGUUCGCCCAUUAAAGCGGUACGCGAGCUGGGUUCAGAACGUCGUGAGACAGUUCGGUCCAUAUCCGGUGCAUGCGCAGGAAUAUUGAGAGGAUUUCUCCCUAGUACGAGAGGACCGGGAGGAACGCACCUCUGGUGUACCAGUUAUCGUGCCAACGGUAAACGCUGGGUAGCCAUGUGCGGAGAGGAUAACCGCUGAAAGCAUCUAAGUGGGAAGCCCACCUCAAGAUGAGUAUUCCCAUGGGGUAACCCAGUAAGGUCACGGGAAGAACACCCGUUGAUAGGCUCUACGUGGAAGCGCAGUAAUGUGUGAAGCGGAGGAGUACUAAUAGACCGAGGGCUUGACCU